rnacentral:lncRNA from 1 species
ACAAAUAGAAGGGUUUUGAGGCCAGGCGAGGUGGCUCACGUCUGUAGUCCCAGCACUUUGGGAGGGUGAGGCAGGGGGAUCGCUUGAGCUCAGAAGUUCGAGACCAGCCAGGGCAACAUGGCAAAACUCGAUCUCUACAAAAAAAUACAAAAAUUAGCGGGAUGUUGUGGUGUGCACCUGUACUACUUAUGAGGCUGAGGUGGGAGAAUCACUUGAGCACCAAAGAUCGAGGCUGCAGUGAGCCAUGAUUGUGCCACUGUACUCUAGCAUGGGCAACAGAGUGAGACCUUGACUCAAGCAAAGCAAAACAAAACAAAGAAGGGUUUUAAAUGGCAUUUCCCGUGUUGUCUCAUGCAUCAUUUAGAAGCACCACCUUGGAAAGAGCAAGGAGAUUGCAAACCUUUUCUUUACACCAACAUCACCAAGUGAUGCACUUUCAUUUGAGAAACAAUGAGUGUAUUUUGUUAUACUGUGGGUAUACUCGAAUGCCCUUCUAGGCUGCUUCAUAAUCAUUCUGGAAAGGUGGUGAAUGAUCUCGUGUUCAGUGGCUCCAGUGAUCAGUCAGUCCAUGCUCACAACAUUCACACUGGUGAGCUCGUGCGGAUCUAUAAAGGUCACAAUCAUGCAGUGACUGUGGUGAAUAUCCUAGGAAAAGUGAUGGUGACUGCUUGCCUGGAUAAAUUUGUUCGUGUCUAUGAAUUACAGUCUCAUGAUCGAUUACAAGUUUAUGGAGGAC